AAAGAAGAACCAAUUAAAGAAUGCAAAUUUCUUGGGCACCUCUUUCUCGUCUGCCUCGUCGAAUUGAUCUGCCCCAAAUGAUGAGACGCAUGGCUUGAUCCCACCUGUACCAAGGGCUAUGAGGCCCAGCGCACAGAUGAGGCCCAGGACUCUCUCUCCCUUGAAAGGAAAAAAGCAAAUAAAAAAAGGAAGGACUGGUUCUAACCACUGCAUAGACGCAAGAGAAGAGAAUGAUGGUCUUGAAUCGACCCAGAUAAGCAUCAGCUAGAAAUGCUCCAAGAAUAGUGAGGACGUAGGCAGCUCCAAUCCAAUCCGUCACAUGAGUAAUAGCAUUUGGAAGAGAUUGUCGCAUUUCACCGGCCAAAUAAGCAACCAUAUUCACAGCUAUUGCAAAAAAUGCUAAUCUCUCUGCCACCUCAUUCACUGCAACCAAAACAAGUUAGUUUAAAUCUCCAUGCAUGUUUGUCCCAAUUCAGAUUAUCUAAGAAUUUGCAACCAAAAUUUUGUUUUACCUAUUAUAAAUGGAGAGGCCUUCCAUCCUCCAGUAUAUCUCUUGUCUGCAAUUCUACCUCUAAUAUCAACACAACCAUUGCUCACUAAUGUGGUUGACACCGUCUCUUCCUGCAAAAUCAUAAGCAUUUCAAUUAAAGAUACUAAUUAUAGCAAUACUGUCAUGUGCAAUUAGUGCAGAAUUCAAUGUUACUUACCUUGUGGUAUUGAUCUUCUACGAGUUUUUCCAUUGAAGGUUUCAUAAAGGACUUCUCUAAUGGAUCACCACAGGUCUGAUGAGUUAUAUCCAUAUAAUAUCAAGAUUUUAGUCUCUAGUGCAGUUAGUGUCUGGAAAGCUAAAAGGGUACUCUACUCUUUUAGAUCAGGAAUGUGCUACUAUGGUGCAUCAUAUAAAUAUUAGAGGUCAGCUUGCUUAUGAUACAACAAUUAUCUUGAUAUAACGUUUGAAACUAGUUUUGGGACCUUCUUUCAGGUUUCUGUUUGGACGCAUUAUAGGCAUAAUUAAGUUGCCGGCCGCAGAGAUAACAUGUUAAAUUUGUUCCUGCAUAGCAGAUGCUCACACAUGGGCCGCAAAUAAGAUGUACAUUAAGGCAAAAACUGGCAGAAUCUAUUGAUAAAGACCAUUGUUUAGGACCCAUUCAAACUGCCGCCUGAAGUCUUUUUGGGUCCAAAACUUGAUAUAGGCAUCAUCGAUUUUCUUGUUUGUUAGCUGCUUUAGAAUAGUCUCAGUUGCUGUUCCAAUUCUGAAUCUCUUUAUACUAUUAAAUUAAAAAGAUACUAAUUUUUUUUCCAUAA